rnacentral:rRNA from 1 species
UACGGGGGGGGCAAGCGUUGUUCGGAAUUACUGGGCGUAAAGGGUUCGUAGGGGGCCUGCUAAGUCAGACGUGAAAUCCCUCAGCUUAACUGGGGAACUGCGUCUGAUACUGGAAGGCUUGAGGGCGGGAGAGGUCGGUGGAAUUCCCGGUGUAGUGGUGAAAUGCGUAGAGAUCGGGAGGAAGACCAAGGGGGAAGCCAGUCACCUGGGCCCGCGCUGACACUCAUGGACGACCGCGUGGGGAGCGAACCGG